rnacentral:rRNA from 1 species
CCUACGGGUGGCAGCAGUGAGGAAUAUUGGUCAAUGGACGCAAGUCUGAACCAGCCAUGCCGCGUGCAGGAAGACGGCUCUAUGAGUUGUAAACUGCUUUUGUACGAGGGUAAAUCCCGAUACGUGUAUCGGGUUGAAAGUAUCGUACGAAUAAGGAUCGGCUAACUCCGUGCCAGCAGCCGCGGUAAUACGGAGGAUUCAAGCGUUAUCCGGAUUUAUUGGGUUUAAAGGGUGCGUAGGCGGUUCGAUAAGUUAGAGGUGAAAUCCCGGGGCUCAACUCCGGCACUGCCUCUGAUACUGUCGGGCUAGAGUUUAGUUGCGGUAGGCGGAAUGUAUGGUGUAGCGGUGAAAUGCAUAGAGAUCAUACAGAACUCCGAUUGCGAAGGCAGCAUACCGGCGCUCAACUGACGCUCAUGCACGAAAGUGUGGGUAUCGAACAGGAUUAGAUACCCCUGUAGUC